GCUACUGUAUAUCACCCUGAAACUCACAGCUGGCAACUCACUGAAGUUAAGCAGGUGUGAGCCUGGUCAGUACCUGGAUGGGAGACCUCCUGGGAAAAACUAAGGUUGAUGGUGGAA
rnacentral:rRNA from 1 species